CAGUAGCCACGGGAAUACGGAGGGAGCUAGCGUUGUUCGGAAUUACUGGGCGUAAAGCGCACGUAGGCGGCUAUUCAAGUCAGAGGUGAAAGCCCGGGGCUCAACCCCGGAACUGCCUUUGAAACUAGAUAGCUGGAAUCUUGGAGAGGUCAGUGGAAUUCCGAGUGUAGAGGUGAAAUUCGUAGAUAUUCGGAAGAACACCAGUGGCGAAGGCGACUGACUGGACAAGUAUUGACGCUGAGGUGCGAAAGCGUGGGGAGCAAACAGGAUUAGAUACCCCUGUAGUCCCUGUCUCUUAUAC
rnacentral:rRNA from 1 species